rnacentral:rRNA from 1 species
AUUGAACGCUGGCGGAAUGCUUUACACAUGCAAGUCGAACGGCAGCACGGACUUCGGUCUGGUGGCGAGUGGCGAACGGGUGAGUAACAUAUCGGAACGUAUCCAAUAAUGGGGGAUAACGAGUCGAAAGAUUCGCUAAUACCGCAUACGCCCUACGGGGGAAAGCUGGGGACCGCCGGGCCUGGCGUUAAUGGAGCGGCCGAUAUCUGAUUGGCUAGUUGGUGUGGUACAGGCUCACCAAGGCGACGAUCCGUAGCUGGUCUGAGAGGACGACCAGGCACACUGGAACUGAGACAGGGCCCAGCAUCCUACGCGAGGCAGCAGUGGGGAAUUUUGGCCAAUGGGCGCAAGCCUGAUCCAGCCAUUCCGGGUGAGUGAAGAAGGCCUUCGGGUGGUAACGCUCUUUCGCAAGGGAAGAAAACUUAGCCACUAACAUUGGUUGAGGUUGACGGUACCUUGAUAAGAAGCACCGGCUAACUACGUGCCAGCCGCCGCGGUAA